rnacentral:rRNA from 1 species
AGAGUUUGAUCCUGGCUCAGAUUGAACGCUGGCGGCAUGCUUUACACAUGCAAGUCGGACGGCAGCACGAGUACUUGUACUUGGUGGCGAGUGGCGAACGGGUGAGUAAUAUAUUGGAACGUACCGAGUAAUGGGGGAUAACUAUCCGAAAGGAUAGCUAAUACCGCAUACGCUUUGAGAAGGAAAGCAGGGGAUCUUCGGACCUUGCGUUAUUCGAGCGGCCAAUAACUGAUUAGCUAGUUGGUGGGGUAAGGGCCCACCAAGGCGACGAUCAGUAGCGGGUCUGAGAGGAUGAUCCGCCACACUGGGACUGAGACACGGCCCAGACUCCUACGGGAGGCAGCAGUGGGGAAUUUUGGACAAUGGGCGAAAGCCUGAUCCAGCCAUGCCGCGUGUCUGAAGAAGGCCUUCGGGUUGUAAAGGACUUUUGUUAGGGAAGAAAAGGUUGAUGCUAAUAUCAUUAACUGAUGACGGUACCUAAAGAAUAAGCACCGGCUAACUACGUGCCAGCAGCCGCGGUAAUACGUAGGGUGCGAGCGUUAAUCGGAAUUACUGGGCGUAAAGCGAGCGCAGACGGUUAGUUAAGCAAGAUGUGAAAUCCCUGAGCUCAACUUGGGAACUGCGUUUUGAACUGGCUAGCUAGAGUGUGUCAGAGGGGGGUAGAAUUCCACGUGUAGCAGUGAAAUGCGUAGAGAUGUGGAGGAAUACCGAUGGCGAAGGCAGCCCCCUGGGAUAACACUGACGUUCAUGCUCGAAAGCGUGGGUAGCAAACAGGAUUAGAUACCCUGGUAGUCCACGCCCUAAACGAUGUCAAUUAGCUGUUGGGCAACUUGAUUGCUUAGUAGCGUAGCUAACGCGUGAAAUUGACCGCCU